GACGAACGCUGGCGGCGUGCCUAAUACAUGCAAGUAGAACGCUGAAGAGAGGAGCUUGCUCUUCUUGGAUGAGUUGCGAACGGGUGAGUAACGCGUAGGUAACCUGCCUUGUAGCGGGGGAUAACUAUUGGAAACGAUAGCUAAUACCGCAUAACAAUGGAUGACCCAUGUCAUUUAUUUGAAAGGGGCAAAUGCUCCACUACAAGAUGGACCUGCGUUGUAUUAGCUAGUAGGUGAGGUAACGACUCACCUAGGCGACGAUACAUAGCCGACCUGAGAGGGUGAUCGGCCACACUGGGACUGAGACACGGCCCAGACUCCUACGGGAGGCAGCAGUAGGGAAUCUUCGGCAAUGGGGGCAACCCUGACCGAGCAACGCCGCGUGAGUGAAGAAGGUUUUCGGAUCGUAAAGCUCUGUUGUAAGUCAAGAACGAGUGUGAGAGUGGAAAGUUCACACUGUGACGGUAGCUUACCAGAAAGAGACGGCUAACUACGUG
rnacentral:rRNA from 1 species